rnacentral:rRNA from 1 species
GUCUACUGAACCAGUAUGAAAGGCACCAUAUCCCAUUGGAAAAUGGAAGCUAAGCAUGGUGAGGUCUGGUUAGUACUUGGAUGGGGGAUCACCAAAGAAUUCCAAGUGUUGUAGGUU